rnacentral:misc_RNA from 1 species
GGGAUGGCUUAUAUGGGUCAGUAGAAUUCUUUGUUGUAUUAAGAACAGCUUAAUCUGGUGGCAUCGACUGUUUAAUUUUGGCUCAUACAUCUAGUUUUUGAGCUAGUGAGAUCAUAAAUUUUAUAAUUCAAUUUCCAUGAGGCCAAAACCUGCAACUUAUUUUCUAUGCUAAUUAGAAUUUCCAUACAACCUUAUCCAAUUGUCUUCAGAAAUUAUCAUCUGAUUCACUAGAAGAUGGAGUCCUUGAUGAAUCUGAUAUCAAAUGUAUACGGAAGUCUGGGAAUUUCAGUGGAGCUCUUAUUGGUAGUAAUGGUGGUGACGCUGAACCUGAAUUUGCUGCCAAUGCCAAAUUCUUCUUCUGGAUCUUUUGAGAAAUGUCCACGCAGACUUGAUCAACCAUGUCAAGGAAAUCUCUCACAAUGACAAAUAGUUGAAGGUCCAAUCUGUCAUGCUUGCAAUCUCCUGCUUGAUAAUAUUCUGUUGUUCUCUUCACAAGCUCCAGAAUUCUUGUUUGCUCCUCUGCGACUAUGUGAAGCUCCUCCUCACACUCCUCUAAAAAUCCUUUCAUUUCUCUCACAAAACCAUCUUCCUCACCAUUGCUGCAGCAUGCAAUGAGCAGCUGAAUUUCUGUGACACAGGAUGUAAGAGAGGAACAUGUGUUGAUGAAACUAUCAUAUUCUAUGGUGGCAGCUUUCUUUACAUUGGAGAAUUCAAUUCUCAAACCCCCCAUUUCUUGUAAUCCUAGCAGUACAUAUUCUUUCUCUCUCUCUGCUGCUGCUAGAGUAUCUGAAUUUAAAUCACUGUUCCUUCUUCCUUGACUAUCAUUUCUGUCAAGACUUCUGUUCCGUUUUAGCACAUGUCGUUUACCUUCUGAUCGAGCUACUUGUUCCACCAAAAAAUGAAGUAAAGUAGUCUUGCCAUCGGUGCUUUUAAUAUCAGAUAGUUUUCUAAGAGCAGUAAGGUUGAAACCUUGUGCAUUGCCUCUGGAUGUCCCAGCAUUCAUCCUAUUGCCUGCCUUGAGAAUGGCUUCAAGAAGUUUUAAGAAGAGGCCUCGGGUUCGUAGUGCUUGGCAUCCCAUUUCAAGCGUUUGUAAGGAUUCCUUGAGAUGGAGAAUUUCUGCAUCAUAAUUUGAUCUGAAUAGCAUUGCAUUGAUCCUGAGGAAUGCUGAGGGAACAGCUUUCAGGAUAUGGUAAAGGAAAGAUUCAGCAUCUGCAAGUUUACUUGGGUUGUCUAUGAAUUGGAGGAUUUUGGCUUCUUCUUCCUGGGUUGGAGCAAUUCUAGCAAGCUUUUCAAGGAUAUCAGUGGUAAGACCUUGGCCCUCAAGAAGAGAAUCAAGGAUUUCUUUGCGAGAAAUUGCUAAUGAUUUUAGCACAAUUGCCUUGUUCUGGGACUUCCGGGGCUCAAGGAUGAAAAUUUGAGCUGUGGAGGCAGGGCUGGAACUGCUUAUGUUUGAUGAGAGCUCAUUUUCUCUAGGGAUUUGGCAGUUGGAAUUUGUGUAUCCAAAAAGUGUUUCUAUUUGCUCAUCAUCAAAUCUGAAGAAGAAGAAAGAAGAAAUAAAAGAGAAACAACAACGCAUUAAGGAAUUCCUACUAAGGGAAAUGAUUUAGAGCGUGAAGAAUGGUCAAGGAAUUAAAAUUUAAAAGCAGAAUACCUGAGAGAGCCAUCAAUGAUCUCAUUCCAAACCAUUGAAUGAUCAGCAUUAGCUAUAACUUUAUCCCAGUGCAAUGGCUUUAACUUCAUUUGGCCAACACUAGUCCCUUUUGAGCAUCUUUCUGUUGAAGCUCGUGCUCCACUUUUGUUGUUUGUGUUCCCUUUUUGUGCUGUUGGGGGUCUUAGUGAUGAAACCAAACCGCCAGCCCCAGGUGGAGGAGGUGGUGGUAUAGUCCUCUUUGAUAUUCUUGGUGGUGGUAGUAGUGGAGGAGAAGGACGUGGCGGUGGUGAUGGAGGAGGAGGAGGAGGAGGAG